AGCGAACGCUAGCGGGUGGCUUAACACAUGCAAGUCGAGCGGGGUCUUCGGGCCCAGCGGCGAACGGGUGAGUAACACGUAGGAUAUCUGCCUUUUGGUGGGGCAUAGCCGGGGGAAACCCCGAUUAAUACCGCAUAUGGCCUAUGGGUCAAAGCCUUCGGGCGCCAAGAGAGGAGCCUGCGGCCCAUUAUUUAAUCCUAGUUGGUGGGGUAAUGGCCUACCAAGGGUACGAUGGGUAGCUGGUCUGAGAGGACGAUCAGCCACACUGGAACUGAGACACGGUCCAGACUCCUACGGGAGGCAGCAGUGGGGAAUAUUGCGCAAUGGGCGGAAGCCUGACGCAGCCAACCCGCGUGUGUGAUGAAGGCCUUC
rnacentral:rRNA from 1 species